AUCCUCUGUGUUUCACUGGCGUGUUGACUGGGCAUUCACACUACUUUGUGGUUCACGCCUCCUUCAAGCCUUGUUAUGGCAUUGACAUAUUAACCAUUUAACA
rfam:Erinaceus europaeus unplaced genomic scaffold scaffold00885, whole genome shotgun sequence